rnacentral:rRNA from 1 species
UACGUAGGUGGCGAGCGUUGUCCGGAUUUACUGGGCGUAAAGGGAGCGUAGGCGGACUUUUAAGUGAGAUGUGAAAUACCCAGGCUCAACUUGGGUGCUGCAUUUCAAACUGGAAGUCUAGAGUGCAGGAGGGGAGAAUGGAAUUCCUAGUGUAGCGGUGAAAUGCGUAGAGAUUAGGAAGAACACCAGUGGCGAAGGCGAUUCUCUGGACUGUAACUGACGCUGAGGCUCGAAAGCGUGGGGAGCAAACAGGAUUAGAUACCCCGGUA